rnacentral:rRNA from 1 species
CUAAGAAUAUUCCGCAAUGGACGAAAGUCUGACGGAGCGACGCCGCGUGGAUGAAGAAGGCCGAAAGGUUGUAAAAUUCUUUUGCGGAUGAAGAAUAAGUAGGGGAGGGAAUGCCCUUAUGAUGACGUUAGUCCGUGAAUAAGCCCCGGCUAAUUACGUGCCAGCAGCCGCGGUAACACGUAAGGGGCGAGCGUUGUUCGGAAUUAUUGGGCGUAAAGGGCGCGUAGGCGGUCUAGUAAGUCUGAUGUGAAAACCCCGGGCCUAACCCGGGAACUGCAUUGGAAACUGCGAGGCUAGAGUCACGGAGGGGGAGCUGGAAUUCCUGGUGUAGGGGUGAAAUCUGUAGAUAUCAGGAAGAACACCGGUAGCGAAGGCGAGCUUCCAGCCGAUGACUGACGCUGAGGCGCGAAAGUGCGGGGAGCAAACAGGAUUAGAUACCCUGGUAGUCCGCACUAUAAACGAUGCACACUAGGUGUUGGACCGAGCGGUUCAGUGCCGGAGCGAACGCGAUAAGUGUGCCGCCU